rnacentral:rRNA from 1 species
UACGGGGGGGGCAAGCGUUGUUCGGAAUUACUGGGCGUAAAGGGCGCGCAGGCGGUUCGGCACGUCCGUUGUGAAAUCGCUCGGCUCAACUGGGCGGGGUCAGCGGAUACGGUCGAACUUGAGCAAGCUAGGGGGCAAUGGAAUUCCCGGUGUAGUGGUGGAAUGCGUAGAUAUCGGGAGGAACACCAGUGGCGAAGGCGGUUGCCUGGAGCUUUGCUGACGCUGAGGCGCGAAAGCGUGGGGAGCGAUCCGG